CGUUUUUUCUAGAUAUAAUAAUUUUGACCCGAAGCCUUUUAUAAUUUGUUUUGAACCACUUCCGGCUUGUUGGUCAUGUCUUGGUGUGAUUCAUCCGCCAUUAUUAAUUGUGAAUUUAAAUAACAUAUGUCAGUUGUGUAAUAAGACGUACGUUUCAAAUCAAAACUCAAACAUUUGUGUAUUCUCGAUUAGUAAAAAUGGAUAUGAGUGUAUAUUUAACAGCUCCUUUACAAAUUGAUAGAAUUUGUCGAGCGUGUUUAUCAGAAAAAGGCGACAUGAGGCCUCUUUUUGGAGCUUGUUUGGACGAAAUGCUUGUUUCAUUUGCUUCAGUACAGGUUCAAGAAGGUGAUGGUUUACCAAAUUUGAUGUGCGUACAAUGUGUCUUGCAAUGUAGUAGGGCAUACACAUUUAAACAGCAGUGUGAAAAAUCGGACAGUAUUUUGAGACAAUAUAUGAGUCCUGAAUUUCAGGACCAACUUGCUAAAUCUAUAGCAGAACAGCAAGUAAAAGAAGAGCUUCGUGAACAACUUAAUUUUUCAGAUAAUGUUAAUGCAAUGGACCAUUUGUCAACUGAAUUGGUAGAUUAUAGUGAAGAUGGUUGCACUUUGGAGCUUAGAUCUGAUUUUCCUGAUGAAGAUCACAACGGGGAAGAUAAUUUAGAUGACCCACUGUUAAUUGAGCAGAAACAAAAUGCACAGAAAUUAAAACAUGCAUGUACAAAAUGUGAUGCAUCUUUUUUAUUAAAAGUAGAUCUAAAGGUGCACAUGAUGUCCCAUCCUAAAGAUUUGGAUCAUGUGUGUCAUGUAUGUCAAAAAGGAUUUUCAGAAGCCCGAAUUCUAAAAAGACAUUUAAAAAUACAUCUUGAAAAGAAACCUCAUCAGUGUGACCAGUGUGAUAUGUCAUUUGCAGAAAGUUCUAAUCUUAGUAAACACAAGAAGAAGCAUACAGGAGAGCUGCGUAAUAUUAAAGGAAAACCUCAUUUAUGUUCUGUAUGUGGAAGAUCAUUUAAAUGGGCAUCCAGUUUAUCAAAACAUAUGAAAUAUCAUACUGGCCACAAAUUACUUACUUGCAAAUUUUGUGGAAAACAGUAUGUUGAAGCAAGAAGCUUAAGAAUCCAUAUUAGGUCACAUACAGGAGAAAGGCCAUAUGUCUGUGAAGUAUGUCAAAAGAGUUUUACACAGCUUUGCAAUUUAGAAAAACAUGUUAGAGUUCAUACAGGGGAAAAACCAUUCUUAUGUCCUAUUUGUGGAAAAGGUUUCAGUCAGUCGGGUUACGUAGGUGUUCAUAUGCGCACGCAUACAGGCGAGCGACCUUAUGUGUGUACCACAUGCGGUAAAGCAUUCGCCGGUUCUAACACAUUGGCUAUUCAUCAGCGAAUACAUACAGGGGAGAAGCCUUACGCGUGUAAUCUUUGUGGAAAAGCGUUCAGUCGUCAUGAAACUCUUAUCAUACAUACCAGAUCGCAUACGGGAGAUAAACCUCACGUAUGUGGCGUGUGUAAUAAAGGAUUUACUUCGAGUGGGCACCUCUCUGGGCAUCUUCGGACUCAUACAGGAGAAAAGCCUCACGGAUGUCACAUUUGUGGUAAAAGAUUUGCCGGUUCAAGUAGCUUAAAAGUUCAUCUAAGAGGGCAUUCUGGUGAGAAACCGUAUGUGUGUAAGAUUUGUGGAAAGAACUUUUCACAGACUAGUUCUUUACAUCAGCAUGUCGCAACGCACGGCACAAUAUCAAAAAGAAUGUUAAAAAUUGAAGCUGUAUCUGUUGGCGAAAUUCUGAACAGCGCUGGUGAUACAAUCCACACAGUUCAAAUCCAAGAAGUCGAAUCACUUUAGUAUGUAUUAUUUUUGCUGAAGUUUUUCCAGCACAGAGCACAUAUAUGUGUAAAUAUAUAUGGCAUCCGCUAUUCAUACAGUGGCUUAAGGCUGUAUAUUUUAUCUGUAAAUAUAUAGAAAUAAAAAAUUACAUUAAUUAAGACACGGUCCUGUUUCGUGCAGUGAACCUGAUCUGUGCUCAUGAAUAUUGAAGGUGCCUUCAGCCACAUUUCAAAGGAAGGUAAUUAAAACUGCCCUAAACAGCUAUGGCAUAACCUUCUUAAUUAUUGAGUGGAUGGACUAUAUGUUGACCAAUCGACUUAUUGAGAUCACUAAAGAAAAAUGAUCUAUUUGGAGAAUAAUGAACACAGGAAGGAUCAAAGAGGUAUCUUAUCUCCCCUCAUCUGGUGCUUAGUGGUUGAUGAACUCCUAUGGGAACUAUCUGAAAGUAAUAUCCUUGUUCUCGUUUGGGGUCUCUUCCUUGAGCCAAAGGGUAAUCGCCCUUGUAGAAUGCUGGUGUCUUGAAUCUGGACUUUCUAUCAACCCGAGGAAUGCAGAAGUCACCUUGUUCAUAAGAAAAUACUAAUGACAAAACCUGAUUCUUCGAAUUGGUGGGCAGGAACACAGUGAAGUACUUCUAAAUAAUUUUGGACAGUAAAUUGUCCUAAAAGGACCAUCUGGACUUUCUGAGAAAAAGGCUCUCAGUCUGCCUUUGAUAAACUAGAAAGGCUAGGCUGACUUAUCCUGCGUCAGUUUUGUGAAACAUUGUUGCCUUUUCCACCUCUAAUAGGCAACUGAAAAAAUUGAGGGGAUUGGUGCUGAGAAUUACUGAGGCUGUGAUGUUUAUCCUAUAGGGGCGCUAGAUAUGCUUCUUGACAUUGAACUCUUCAAAGUAGCCCUUAGAACAAGCCACAACAAAGACCCUUUAAUGGAUCAAAUGCAUCGACUGUGAGGUGGUAAUGUAAGACUCUUUGAUUUCCCUAAGUGCGUGAUUAUAAGAGGCAAACUUGAGAUGCCUCCGAUCGCACGAGGACCCUCUUCCUUUUCGACAAAAAUGCGACAUCAGUCUCCUCGGGUAAAAUCUCCAUAAGGUCUGACAGUGACUUUGAUACUGGUGGGUUCAGAAACACGGGGAGAAGCAGUUACAACCAUCAAAGUGGGAUUAGGUAUUCCCUACCUUUGGGUUAGUUUGCUAUUGAGACAGAAGUAAUGAUUAUUACUCAUUGUGCCUAGGAAAUGCUAAUGCCAUAACAUUAUAGAGUUGGACACUCAACAAAGUCAAAGCUGUUAGAAGACUGCCACCAAACCCUCAGCAGACUAUCGUCCCGAACCAAGGUGGUUUUGCUCUGGGUUCCGAGACUCAUUUAAGCAUUCGAGUGUAGGUUUUGAUGCCCGUAGAAAUUUGAUUAACUACUUUAAAUGUCUCCAACCAAUCCUCAAAGGAGUGACAAAUUCACUACAGAAUGAUAUUAUAAUAUAUAAAAGCAGAAAGCCAAGGAAUCAUCCGCGCUUUUAAGGUGUAAAUAAGCCUAAACUCGAUAAGAAUAAUAGUAAUAAUACUUAAAAUAAUAAAAAACAAUAUUAACGUAACAUUAAACCCAUUCCACUUGAAACGCCAAACAAAACGCUGACAUGCUAGUGAAAUAGGAAAAACCGCGAUCAUAAGCGUGAACUUUUAGUGGAACGGACUUAUACUACUAGGUACCAAGUACUACCCAUGUACUACGUGACUUUCAUGACUACAACCUAGAACCGCAGGUCCCUGUGAAGUUGAUGCGGUCGGGAAUAAUGACAUCAAUAAUGUAGUGUUGUCAAACAAUAGACCUGUUUCAACCUACUAUUCUACUGUUUUCACGUUAAAAUCUCCUGUUAAAUUUACUUAAUUACAACUUGUGGAAAAAAAUGCGAGCAACUCCAAUUGUACCAUCUCUCCCCACUGAAAAAGCUCAGUCUACUUUUUAUUGUCAUCUGAUUUUGGUAAUAAACCGCCGGGAAUUCCCUACGUAGGUACGCUGAAAAUGCUUAUCCUGCAUUUUAGACCAUCAGCAAUUCGUUAGGCUGGGUAUGGUGUAAUAAUAAUAGUAAUUGUGAUUGUAUGUCGAUAUCCUAGUUUAACAAAAGGUACUCGUCAAAUCAAAAAUUACGUGAUAAACAAAAAUCGUUGUGUAAACUAAACUGUAAAAGGUAGUUCUGGCCCUGGCCUAUCAGAUCAAUUUUGCAAAAAAAAAUUAUGCUGCUCAAUUAAGUAUUUCUCAGAACGUGACCGUCGUGAAUAUUUACGAAAGCUUCGCUCAGAAAUAAGUUUAAAGGUAUAGAAUAGAUUGUAGCUUAUGUUUUAGAUUAUAUUAAUGUUUUCCAGUACAUUUUGUUUGUUUUAUAAAAACAAAUAAAACUGCUUAAUACCUUU
rnacentral:misc_RNA from 1 species